rnacentral:lncRNA from 1 species
AGGACUAUUAAAGUCUGCAAAGACCAACUCUGUGGAGUCUCUUCCGGAAUUGUUAACCUCAGACUCUGAAGGGAGCUAUGCAGGAGUGGGUAGUCCCAGAGACCUACAGUCGCCUGACUUUACAGCAGGAUUCCAUUCGGAUAAGGUUGAGGGGAAAGCUAAGCCAUAUGUGAAUGGUACACCUCUUCCAUGGACUAGGGAAGAUUUAAAACCAUGGGAAAAAUCACCAACUACCAAGUCUGCUCCCCAGUUCAUCCCCAGUAGCAGAGUGGACACUUCAGGCUCUUCCAGUUGGGUGGCUGGUUCUUGCAGUCCCGUGAGUCCUCCUGUUGUGGAUCUCAGAACUAUCAUGGAAACAGAAGCAAACAGACAAAAAUAUGGUGCAGCACCAAAGUCGAACUUGGGAAAAAUUAUUUCUCAUGGAAUCAAACUUUCUCAGAAGCAACGGAAAAUGAUGGCAUUGACUACCAAAGAAAACAAUUCAGGAACAAAUAGCAUGGAGCCCAUUCUGACAGCUCCUUCAAAGUCCCCCAAGCCAGUGAACGCAUGGGCACCUCUACACUCUCCUUCAUCCAGCUCAUUCCGGAAUUUUUUACUAGAAGAAAAAAAACCUGUUCCUGGCCGUGGUUCAGGAGAUCAUGUCAAAAAAGUUUGUUUUAAAGGAACUGAAAACUCUCCAGCCCUAAAUGUUGCAAGGGAUGGGAUUAAAGGUGUGAGGACCACACCUGGCACUCAGUCCUGGUGCUGCAUCUGUUUUCAUCUCACGUGAAAGAGUGCAGCAUCUCUGCAGCAAGAACGGUGUUUCUCUUACCCAGGCAUGGCAUACACUUCCUUAAAAUGGGCGUAUAAUGAGUAAUUAGUGAUUGACUGAAGGAAGAAAUAAAUCACAACUGUAACUCCUUUUCGGAUGUUCACCUCAUGGAACUCCAGGACUAGAAAGCAAUCAUGUCUCUGAUUUUCCACUUGUAGACAGUCCCAAUCCCUGGCUGUCCUCCUCACUGGCGGCAUCUCCCGCAGUUGCUCCAGUCACGUUCGCAUCCAUUGUAGAAGAAGAGCGGCAACAGGAAGCUGCCCUCAUCAGAAGCCGAGAGAAACCCUUGGCUCUCAUUCAGGUUGAGGAACAUGCAAUACAGGACUUGCUGGUUUUCUAUGAGGCAUUUGGCAACCCUGAUGAGUUUGUCAUCGUUGAAAGGACACCACAGGGACCAGUGGCAGUGCCUAUGUGGAACAAGCAUGGGUGCUAGCUCACUGGAGAGGACACUGCUCCUAGUUGUGGUUACCCUGCCUACAUGAAGAAAAUGCAUGUGCAAGCGUUCUUAAGAUUUGUUAGCUCAGUGUUCCCGUCAGAGCAAGAGUGGAUAUGAUUUCUUCCCGUAGUUUAUAAUGUUUGUAUGACUAAUGAGACAUUUAUCAGAAUUGUGAUUUUAGUGACUGUCAUGUGUAAAUGUGUCAGGAAAAAUGUUAGGCUAAGGUUGCUUGGAUUGUUUCUUCUAAAUUACCUAAGGAAAAUAUGGGUGAAAUUAAAGCUUAGGAAUAGUUCACUAAAAAUAAUUUUUCACUUGAGAAUAUGGGUGAUUUAGAAGAGCUUGCCACAUGUGUUUUUAAAGAAGACAUUGAUGAGCUUAAAGCGGAGCCUCAAUCAUUACUGCUGAUUCACUGAUGGCCAGAAUGUUCCGUUUGCCUGAGUAGAUGUCUCUCUUGUUGCUUUUUCACUGGACUGUUCUUAGGCCUCUCUACAGUUGCUGGACAGUCUAUGAUCAUAGCUUCUGUGGGAGAUUUGGAUUCAUAGAUCUUUUUUUUGGUUGGGUGGGAAGGUAGUAAGAGAGGACAGACCUACUUGUGAAAGAUUCAGUGUCUUAAGGUGUUAAGUUUCUCUAAAAUAAAGCAUAAGAUUGCUGAAUAGUUUAUCAGAGUGGUUGUUUAUAAUUACUUUUUAGUAUGUAUAAUCAGAAUUUCUGUGAGCCUGGAUUAUAUGUAUACAUGGAAAUUUUGGUUAUUUUCUUUAUAGUAUACUGUUUGGUUUUGAAUGUUUAAAAUUAAAAGAAAAACCAUUUUAAAAUGUGUGCUUCGGUGUGUAGACCAUGAGAAAGCUAAUGCUGAAGGCCUGGGAAAGAAUCCCGGCCAGAGAUAGGUCGACAGUUCCUGCCUGACUUCAACUAAGGGGAAAUUGGUUGGAAGUAACUAACUCGGUGUUUUAGCUCAGUUCCACCCACAAGCAGCAGCCAUGUGAGCAGACGUGCAAUAAAAGUAAUGUUGAUCCACUUCACUUUCAUGUGUGUGUGUUUGACUCCAUGUGUAGAUUGACACUAGUGCUAUCCACAAUUUCCAGCUAUCUGCAAUUAUUUCCCCUCAGAGCCACACUCAUGAUCAGUUGUGUAUGUGUGUGUGUGCAUAUAUAAUAUAUAUAUAUAUAUAAAUAUAUAAAUUAUAUAAAUAUAUAUUUUUACUCGGCUAAAAAUCCCAUUUAUAGGAUAUAAAAUUUUAUUUUAUAUAUAUGAGUAAUUUAAGAAAAAUGAAUUUUAUGAUGCCUUUGUGAUGUCAGUAAAGAAGCUUUCCAAAGUCC